UCCCUGGUGGUUCAAAUGGUAAAGAAUCUGCCUGCAAUGCAGAAGGCCCAGGUUUGAUCCCUGGGUUGGGAA
rnacentral:tRNA from 1 species